rnacentral:lncRNA from 1 species
CCGUUAUUCCACGUUUUCAAUUUUCAACACAAAAUUAAUUAACCAUUUAUAUUCUACAGUCUAUUUAGUUGAAUAAUUUAUGAUAUUUUUAUUAAGAAAAUGUAAGAAAAUAAAUGUUUUCUUAAUCUAUGUGCAUUAGUAUAUAAAGAUUCAUACUCAUUCAUUAGGACAAUAACUAUUUUGACUUUUGAGAACAUACUUUGAGAGCUCAAGAUUGUAUUACCUCUGGAACGAUGAAUUUGCCUGUGAGAAGACAGAUGGCUGGGAGAGAACAGUAAACAAUGAGAGGGAGAGAGGUCCAUGGGUAAACCACAGAGUUAAUGUAAGACAACCUCUCAAGCCAUUUCAAACCACCUCCAUAACCAUACCAAAUAGGACAAUGCCUACUCAAGAAAAUCUCAACAGACCCAAGAGCCCAUCUAAGAACCUGAUGAAGACGGUCCGAAAGAUUGAUGGGAGCUGAUCCUUUGAAAGCUGGUAACUUAGGUGUGCAGUAAACAGACCUCCAUCCAUGAGAAUGCAUCUUGAAACCCGUGAGAAUAUCUUCCGUAACAGAACCGUAGAUCCACCCAAUCUGUGUUUUUGUGAACAAAAGAGUCAUCAUCAAAAUCAAGAAUCUAUUGCACACGCACGAGAAAAUAGGAGUGAACCAAUUAAAACCGAAUAUAAAUAGAGUAAGUGGUUUGGAUUUGGUAUUACCGAAUAAACCGAAUGGAUGUUAUUUUUUAAAAAACUACAAUAUAUGGAUAUAUAUAUAGUUUGAUAUAAAACCGAAUAAAUCAAAAUAGAUAUGGUACCUAAUUUUUAUAAACUAAAAAACCGAACCGAAACCCGAAUUGAAGACCCCCAAACAAGAAAAUGUGUAGAAAAGACAGGACUUGCGUAGCGUACCUCUUUUCCCCAUUCGGUUUUAUCUUCAUAACCACAACUAAUGACUUGGAUAGCUUCUUUAAGCAGACAAGCUGGACUUGCGUUUCUAGCCAUCCCACCGUUCUCCAUACGAGCAGACGCAACAAAGACAGGACUCUGUCCAAACUUCUUCUCCAGCUUCAAUUGCAUCGCCUCGGUUGAUAGUUCAACAUUAGAGCCUAUAAGAAAGAAAAAAACAAUCUUUAGCAACAAGUUCUUACACCAAAGUGAGUUAACACUAGUUUAUUACCUUUAGUAGUGACGCGACCCUCUUCAAUAUUUUCUAACGCAUGAAUCUGCUUAGACGCUUCCCUGUUCUUCUUCUUCUUAUCAGCAGCAGCUGUCUUUGCUUUACGGUUCUUUCUCGAACCACAACAAAGAAAACACCAUUUUGGCCAGCAGUUACACGUCUUACGUGGAGCCUUCUUCUUCUUCGGUGCAUCAAACCCGUAAAGAGCUUGCCUCCUGAACACACAACCUGUCCCCACGUAUAUAGGUCCUUGUAACCCAUCCAAACCCUUCAUAUUGAUCUGUAAAACCAAAAAGAUUCAUUAUUAGUUUGAAAUGUACUCCAAUGGAUAUACACAAUGUGAAACUACUUACAUCGAAGAAGACAACGUUGCGAUUUGAGUAACGAUCGUGUCUAUCAAUCCCAUCGAAUCUUUGAGGGAACUGAACAUAACAGAUUUUUUUCCCUGACUGAGGGUCCAUCAUGAAACACAUUGCUUCUCUGAGAGCUUUGCUGUUGUUGAUGUAGUGAUCACAAUCAACGUUGAGAAGAUAAGGAGCGUUUGAUAGAACCCCUGAGACUCGUAUCUUCAAAAUACAUAACAAAGAGUCAAAGAACCAUACAAAGAAGGAAAAAAAAACUUAUUAAAAGUAUAUAACUUACAAGAGAAUUCAUAGCUCCAGCCUUCUUGUGGUGAUCAAAUCCAGGUCUCUUCUCACGAGAGACAUAAACCAAACGAGGCAGCUCGUUGUUUUCGACAUCACGAACACCAUCACUUCCAAGGAAAACCUAUUUACAAUGAAAACAAGUAAAGUUUCAGAAACAGAGAAUAUUACAUAGAAAGGUUUAAAGUACUUUGAAACUAACCUGGAUCAUGCCGGGAUGAUCUCUUGUACUAUUACCAGGCCAAGGUGUACCGUCUUGCAUAGUCCAACCUUCCUCGGGCACUUUCUGUGCCGUUGCUACUAAAGCAUUGAUCUUCACUUUGAAUUCUUCAUAAUCUCUCUGUCAAAACCACACACAAUCUUCCAAAUCAGUAUCUAAAGUGACCAUCUUGUUUUCAUAAGGAACUUACAGCAGAAAAUCUAUAAACUAAUAGUAGCCAAAUUAAUAAACACGAUAUAUUUAUAAUUUUCACCAGUUCGAGUUGGACCGGUUCAAACUAUAAUACAAUUUGAUAAGAUUAUAAAACAAUAAAUAUAUAUCUCUGUAAUCAAAUUACAUCUCAAACACUCAUUUUUAUGAUAUAAAUCUUUUAUCCACCAAAUUAUCUAAUAAAGAAUAUCAAAACCGGAUUUAUAUAAUUUGAUCAAUAUAUAACCCGUAAAAAUAAUUAUUUUUUAUUUUACAUAAAAAAAUAUUUUAGAAUAUAUAAAUCUAUAAAGGAAAUUUCGGUAAAUUAUUAACUAUAUAAAUUAAUAAAAUAUAAAACUCCCGAAAUUUUUUUAUCAAAAAAAAAGACUGAUAUCAACUUUUCUCAUGAGAAGUGAAUGUAUAAAGAGGUAAAGAGCUAGUAACCUUCAUGGCUCGCCGUUCUCUGACAAAUGCAGGAUGGACUUUGUUCUUCAAGUAGUCCAUCUUAUGGCAAAAGUACCACUCAGGAGCACGAGGCUCGAUGCAGUACUUCUUACAGAAAGGAACCCAUUUCCUCGCUCAAUAUUUUUAAAAAUUAUUACUUAGGUCUCGUCAAGUGGUUUUGAGAAAAGUGGUCAUCUAUAUUAUAUACAAACCUUACAUCAACUGAAACUCAAUCUACUACAUGACAACCAGAAUGUCAAAACCUCAUGGGUACUCAGAUUCAACGCAUUAAAGAUUAUCAUACCUACAAAUAUUUUGUGGGUCGACAAAUACUUCGACCAUUAAACAGAGAACUGAAAUCGUGUCUAACACGUGGCAGAAAAACUGACUUUGCUAACAACAACAACAAAAAGUAGGACAAGACUCAUUGUCUCAACACCUACAAGUCAACCACUAUUUUAUUUUCUUCAAACAAAAUCCAAAAAGAGUCAACAUUCAAACCAAAUAUCACAUUCAUAAUUAAUAUCUGAGUAACAUUCUAUAAAACUUUUAUGCUUCCGUGUCACUAAGUACAAACCCUUACGGAUUCCACAUUUAUAUUUCAGCAGCCAAAGCAACAAUAGACAAAUGUGCAUACACACACGAAGCGUUUUGAUAAAAUGUUAAAUUGAUUGAUCAUAAAACAAUAUAUUUAUAAAAUUAACAUGGAUAUGAAAGAAUAAUGUUUAAAUAGCUUUAAGUAACAUGUGCUCCAAACCAUCGACAAAGCAGCUCCUUCAACUUUUGCUUCGGAUAGUAUUUUGUGGACAUAUGCGAUCACGCAUUGUCUUGUCAAUCAUACAAACAAGCUGUUCCACUUGUUUCUGCAAUGUUGUUGUGUUUCCUAUCGUUCCUCUCCCUCCAGAUAAAAUAGAUGGUGACUUGAAAGACCAAUCUCAGCCAGAUAAAUGUAAUUCGCUCAUAGAUACCUGUCUGAAGGCGCAUGAUAGUGAUAUCCCAGUCCGGGUCAGAAACAACACCAAACAGAUUUCCUGCUACUUUGAGCCACAACAUAAAGAUAUAAGAGCAGGCAAAGAAGAGAUAAUCUCUAGUUUCAUAUGGUGUAGACUCACCACGAUAGAGACAACCUUGCGGACUGCUUCACUUAUUGCUACGCUAACCAGUAGAGAGCCUGCAGUCUCGAAACGCUAACCAUGUGAUAAAAGCAUAUCGAAGAACACGUUGAGGAAACCAGACCAGCUUACUCCAUGGUGCCUUGUCCUUGCGACUUCUAAUCUGUUGCUAAGCGAAUCAUGUUUUCAUGCUGUAGUUUGCAAAAAUGAUUGCACCGUGCUGGCUAUACAAUAUCUUUUGGGCCAUUCGGUUAACUUCGUAAUUACUAGUUUAUCCAGCCCAGAUUGAAUGUCCAAGCCAGUUAGACACUGGAUCAAUAUAUGUGGUUAGGCAAACAAAAGGACCAUCAAACCGGAUAAGAAAACUAUUCUUUUUUUUGGGCAAAACUAUUCUCUUUCUUUAAAAGUCAAGAACCAAAUAAACCGAAUUAUCAGUUGAUCAUAGACUUUAUGGUUUAGGUUUCUUGAACAUUAACCGUUAAAAAUGUUCAAUCCAGCUUUUUGGUAUACAUUGUCUUUGAUUUUCCUUUUAAUAUUUUUUUCCUUUUUACAACAUAAAAAUUGAUUGUCAUGUAUAUAUUUUUGUUUUAAUUCCAACUGUACAUGUGUUUUUAAAUAAAAAUUAUAUGUACACUAAAAUACUACUCCCUCCCUUUUAAAUUAAGAAUAAAUUUUUCUUUGUAAAAUAAAUAGACUUAGAAUUUAAAUGCAAUUUAACAUUAAUUUAUUUUUUUAUCUUAUCUAAAUUUUAAAAUAAUAAAUGCUAUAGAAUUUUGGUAACUAAGUAAAAGUAAAACUGAAUGUUUAACAAUUUUUAAAAUCUAUGUUAAAAACUUUAAACAAGUAUAAAUCUAACUCAUGAACAGCCUUAUAACAGAGAAAUCACAUUGUUUUAAAAUUGAAAAUAAAUCAAAGUUCUUUUCGUAAAAGAUUACAGACAGACUGAAACACCUCUUAUGUAAUAUUCAAAAGAGAUCAUAAAUAUUCAAUUAAAAGAAUAAUUUACCAAAUCUUUUCUCUCAACACCAAAGAACAAAACAAAUAGACAACAAACUUCUUCUAUAUCUACAACACAUUCUUGCAAAAAUAACAUUCACGUAAACAAAAUUAAAUCUUUUUUUUUGUUUCAUCGUUUAAUGAACACAAUGAAGUAGUCUUUUAAGAGGGUAGAUAAUCUCUCUCUCUCUUUCUUACCUCUCUUGAUCCGUGGGAACCAACCUUGGAUCAACUCACAAGCAGUCCAAACCACAUAUCUCGAGAAUAGGACCACCUUUAGCCACAAACGGGUUAACCCUUACCCAAAGAAGUGUAAGAAUAGAAGCCAGGAGGAUGGACCAGACGACAAUAAUGGUCGGCAUUCUAUCUUGCUUCCCAAGCAAACCUUUAAGGAAAGGGUAAAGAUGAAUAACCACCCAAAGUGCAAAGAACAGUCUUCCAAAAAGCGGUCCCCAUGAGUCAUAUCCAUUGCUUAUAGCAUCAGAGAUUCCAACUACGAUUCCAAUGACGUUUAUGAUGAGAAGAGUUGUGGGAGGGAUGAGAAGUGAAGUCCAUUUGAAGAGGUAAAGGUCUGAGAACUCGCCGUCAUCAGCUGCUUUUGACGUGACCGUGAAGUUAGUGUCCACACCAGCAAGAACCUUGAGAAGACCUUGGAAGAGAGCAAACAGAUGAGCAGAGACACCUCCAAUGACCCAAAACUGUUCAUUUCUCCACCAGUCAUCGAUCCCAACUUUGCCCCAUUGCAUCUCGAGAAUACCCGUUACUGCAAUGGACGAGAAGAGUGCCAUGAAGAGGAUACUCGCAUAGUUGCUUAUCUGCAAAAACAAGAACCAAGAACCGUUAUUCAGGUUUUAAAACAUACUUUCUUUCUUCCAAACAAGAUGACGUUUUCAAUUUUUAACAUAAAAUUAGUUAACCAUUUAUAUUCUACAGUCUAUUUUAUUAUUGGUUAGGUAAAUAAUUUAUGACAUUUUUGUUUAGAAAAUGUAAGAAAAUAAAUGUUUUCUUAAUCUAUAAUCUAUGUGCAUAACUCUAAACCGUCAUAACCGUCAUCUAAUAAAAAAAACAGGAGGAGUAUAUAAAGAUUCAUAUUCAUUCAUUAGGACAUUAACUACUUUGAGAGCUCAAGAUGAUUGUAUUACCUCUGGAACAAUGAAUUUGCCUGUGAGAAGACAGAUGGCCGGGAGAGAACAGUAAACAAUGAGUGGGAGAGAGGUCCAUGGGUAAACCACAGAGUUAAUGUAAGACAACCUCUCAAGCCAUUUCAAACCACCUCCAUAACCAUACCAAAUAGGACAAUGCCUACUCAAGAAAAUCUCAACAGACCCAAGAGCCCAUCUAAGAACUUGAUGAAGACGGUC